rnacentral:SRP_RNA from 1 species
AGUCAGACCCGGGGAAUCUGGGCGCACCGAAUCUGGUCAGGCCUUGACGGGAGCAGCCAUAAGGAGCGCACGGGUGUCCCCGGCAAUCUGGCUGUC